GAUGAACGCUGGCGGCGUGCCUAAUACAUGCAAGUCGAGCGAACAGACGAGAAGCUUGCUCCUCUGACGUUAGCGGCGGACGGGUGAGUAACACGUGGAUAACCUACCUAUAAGACUGGGAUAACUUCGGGAAACCGGAGCUAAUACCGGAUAAUAUUUUGAACCGCAUGGUUCAAUAGUGAAAGACGGUCUUGCUGUCACUUAUAGAUGGAUCCGCGCCGCAUUAGCUAGUUGGUAAGGUAACGGCUUACCAAGGCAACGAUGCGUAGCCGACCUGAGAGGGUGAUCGGCCACACUGGAACUGAGACACGGUCCAGACUCCUACGGGAGGCAGCAGUAGGGAAUCUUCCGCAAUGGGCGAAAGCCUGACGGAGCAACGCCGCGUGAGUGAUGAAGGUCUUCGGAUCGUAAAACUCUGUUAUUAGGGAAGAACAUAUGUGUAAGUAACUGUGCACGUCUUGACGGUACCUAAUCAGAAAGCCACGGCUAACUACGUG
rnacentral:rRNA from 1 species